AUUGAACGCUGGCGGCAUGCCUUACACAUGCAAGUCGAACGGCAGCACAGACUUCGGUCUGGUGGCGAGUGGCGAACGGGUGAGUAAUAUAUCGGAACAUACCUUGUAGUGGGGGAUAACUAUCCGAAAGGAUAGCUAAUACCGCAUACGCUCUAAGGAGGAAAGUGGGGGAUCGCAAGACCUCAUGCUAUAAGAGUGGCCGAUAUCUGAUUAGCUAGUUGGUGAGGUAAAGGCUCACCAAGGCGACGAUCAGUAGCUGGUCUGAGAGGACGACCAGCCACACUGGAACUGAGACACGGUCCAGACUCCUACGGGAGGCAGCAGUGGGGAAUUUUGGACAAUGGGGGCAACCCUGAUCCAGCAAUGCCGCGUGAGUGAAGAAGGCCUUCGGGUUGUAAAGCUCUUUUGUCAGGGAAGAAACGGUUGUGGCUAAUAUCCAUGGCUAAUGACGGUACCUGAAGAAUAAGCACCGGCUAACUACGUGCCAGCCGCCGCCGUAAUAC
rnacentral:rRNA from 1 species